GAUGAACGCUGGCGGCGUGCCUAAUACAUGCAAGUCGAGCGGACCAAAGAGAGCUUGCUCUCUGAGGUUAGCGGCGGACAGGUGAGUAACACGUGGGUAACCUGCCUGUAAGACGGGGAUAACUUCGGGAAACCGAAGCUAAUACCGGAUGAUAAAGAGAAACGCCUGUUUCUUUUUUGAAAGUCGGCCUUGUGCUGACGCUUACAGAUGGGCCCGCGGCGCAUUAGCUAGUUGGUGAGGUAACAGCUCACCAAGGCGACGAUGCGUGGCCGACCUGGGAGGGUGAUCGGCCACAGUGGGACUGAGACACGGCCCAGACUCCUACGGGAGGCAGCAGUAGGGAAUCUUCGGCAAUGGACGAAAGUCUGACUGAGCAACGCCGCGUGAGCGAUGAAGGCCUUCGGGUCGUAAAGCUCUGUUGUCAGAGAAGAACAAGUACCGGAGUAACUGCCGGUACCUUGACGGUACCUGACCAGAAAGCCACGGCUAACUACGUGCCAGCCGCCGCAGUAA
rnacentral:rRNA from 1 species